UUGCUUUGGCAGCAAAUACUAAAAGUUGGAAUGAUACCACGAGAGAAGAUCGGCAUGGUCCCCAUACAAGGAUGAUGGUAAAGUCUGACGUGUAAGCCACUGGA
ensembl:snRNA U6 U6 spliceosomal RNA